AAUAGCUAUUCUAGAACCCCUCUUAAAGGGGGGUUCGAGAAUAGUUCAGCUCUAUAUAUAUAUAUAUAUAUAUAUCGAAAAUUGUUGGCAACAAAGGAGGGUAGCUACCCAUUCCUCUCAAUAUUGACACGUGUGUAACACCGUUUGGUACUAACGGUAAUGGCCUAAGGCUGGCACGACUCCUUUUCUUCGUCAAAUUGCUCUGCAUCCGGCACUACCUGCAUGUUAUUGUACGACCCUGCCAUCCAUUUCUCUUUAUCUCUCAUCUUUUCACCUUUUUCUGACUAAAUAUCGGUGUCUCUCUUUCGUAUCUUUUUUAUCCUUGUCCUGACAGAAUAUUAUAGUGCUGCCUACUCCUUUUAAUCUGACUUCGAUACAAGCCACACUAAGAAAUAAAGUGCUCUGGCAUGCUGAAGUAUAUGGGAACUAGUACUAAAAAAGUUGACAGUGCAAUACGUUUAGAUUUAUCACGCCACUUAGAUUGCGCUUAAAAACAACAUUACCUUGUCCCCAAAGGCACCACACGUCCACAUCUGUAGUUUCUUCCCUUUUUUUUUUUGGAGAUCCUAGUCCGUAGCCUGUUUUUCUCUGAUUACUGUUGUUUUUUUGAACCAAUGUGAGUUUUUCGUUCAUGCUGGUCCUGCAGGUUGUGACUGCACCUAUCAGGACAAGUGUUGCGGCCUCUUCUGGCAGCAGCGCUCCCUUGCCUCUCGGCGGACGCGGGUGUACCUCGGGUGCCCGGCUCACUCAGACUCAGCACCUCCCCAUGGCGACUUGCUGCUCCUGUGGUGCUUUUUUCUGAACUAUGACGUCUGGCCGCAGGGCAGGGCACAUGAUUAAGCACUUGCAACCAAUUGUCUGCAACUCAACGGAAGUGCAAGCCUGUUUGUUUUCCUCAUCAGUGAUUUGAUCUAGCCAAAGAUAGCCACUCCUUUCUCUUUGGAAUAGUAGAUGGCACUUGUUCCGUACUCUGUAUUUUCUACUACUAAUUUUGCUGCUUGCUGCGAUGCGACAAGCUAGCCAUGUUGACGUCACACAGAGAUGGCCGGGGCCGCCUCCCCUAGCCCGGCACUGGUCCACUCUCGGUGCAACCGGCAACAGGCCCGACCCUGCAACCACUGCUGCCGCCGCCAUGUCCCCGGCGCCCCAGCUCCGCUGCCACGGGAGUCCUCUGCUGUGAGGUAUUGUCCUCCAUGGACGGGCACGGUCUUGAUUUUUUGACGUUUUUCUUUUGAUUGCUGAUUGAAUCAAUCAAGAUGAUCAUGUGCAUAUUACCACUGUUGUAUAUUUCUCUGAUAUAGGGAAGACCACAUGCUGCAUAAGAAGCAGUACAGGCUUUUUAUUCAGUAAGUACAGUUGAAAAUUUGCGACCUGCAUUUCCCACAUC